rnacentral:rRNA from 1 species
UUAAGCGACUAAGCGUACACGGUGGAUGCCCUGGCAGUCAGAGGCGAUGAAGGACGUGCUAAUCUGCGAUAAGCGUCGGUAAGGUGAUAUGAACCGUUAUAACCGGCGAUUUCCGAAUGGGGAAACCCAGUGUGAUUCGUCACACUAUCAUUAACUGAAUCCAUAGGUUAAUGAGGCGAACCGGGGGAACUGAAACAUCUAAGUACCCCGAGGAAAAGAAAUCAACCGAGAUUCCCCCAGUAGCGGCGAGCGAACGGGGAGCAGCCCAGAGCCUGAAUCAGUGUGUGUGUUAGUGGAAGCGUCUGGAAAGGCGCGCGAUACAGGGUGACAGCCCCGUACACAAAAAUGCACAUGCUGUGAGCUCGAUGAGUAGGGCGGGACACGUGGUAUCCUGUCUGAAUAUGGGGGGACCAUCCUCCAAGGCUAAAUACUCCUGACUGACCGAUAGUGAACCAGUACCGUGAGGGAAAGGCGAAAAGAACCCCGGCGAGGGGAGUGAAAAAGAACCUGAAACCGUGUACGUACAAGCAGUGGGAGCACGCUUAGGCGUGUGACUGCGUACCUUUUGUAUAAUGGGUCAGCGACUUAUAUUCUGUAGCAAGGUUAACCGAAUAGGGGAGCCGAAGGGAAACCGAGUCUUAACUGGGCGUUAAGUUGCAGGGUAUAGACCCGAAACCCGGUGAUCUAGCCAUGGGCAGGUUGAAGGUUGGGUAACACUAACUGGAGGACCGAACCGACUAAUGUUGAAAAAUUAGCGGAUGACUUGUGGCUGGGGGUGAAAGGCCAAUCAAACCGGGAGAUAGCUGGUUCUCCCCGAAAGCUAUUUAGGUAGCGCCUCGUGAAUUCAUCUCCGGGGGUAGAGCACUGUUUCGGCAAGGGGGUCAUCCCGACUUACCAACCCGAUGCAAACUGCGAAUACCGGAGAAUGUUAUCACGGGAGACACACGGCGGGUGCUAACGUCCGUCGUGAAGAGGGAAACAACCCAGACCGCCAGCUAAGGUCCCAAAGUCAUGGUUAAGUGGGAAACGAUGUGGGAAGGCCCAGACAGCCAGGAUGUUGGCUUAGAAGCAGCCAUCAUUUAAAGAAAGCGUAAUAGCUCACUGGUCGAGUCGGCCUGCGCGGAAGAUGUAACGGGGCUAAACCAUGCACCGAAGCUGCGGCAGCGACGCUGAUGCGUUGUUGGGUAGGGGAGCGUUCUGUAAGCCUGCGAAGGUGUGCUGUGAGGCAUGCUGGAGGUAUCAGAAGUGCGAAUGCUGACAUAAGUAACGAUAAAGCGGGUGAAAAGCCCGCUCGCCGGAAGACCAAGGGUUCCUGUCCAACGUUAAUCGGGGCAGGGUGAGUCGACCCCUAAGGCGAGGCCGAAAGGCGUAGUCGAUGGGAAACAGGUUAAUAUUCCUGUACUUGGUGUUACUGCGAAGGGGGGACGGAGAAGGCUAUGUUGGCCGGGCGACGGUUGUCCCGGUUUAAGCGUGUAGGCUGGUUUUCCAGGCAAAUCCGGAAAAUCAAGGCUGAGGCGUGAUGACGAGGCACUACGGUGCUGAAGCAACAAAUGCCCUGCUUCCAGGAAAAGCCUCUAAGCAUCAGGUAACAUCAAAUCGUACCCCAAACCGACACAGGUGGUCAGGUAGAGAAUACCAAGGCGCUUGAGAGAACUCGGGUGAAGGAACUAGGCAAAAUGGUGCCGUAACUUCGGGAGAAGGCACGCUGAUAUGUAGGUGAAGCGACUUGCUCGUGGAGCUGAAAUCAGUCGAAGAUACCAGCUGGCUGCAACUGUUUAUUAAAAACACAGCACUGUGCAAACACGAAAGUGGACGUAUACGGUGUGACGCCUGCCCGGUGCCGGAAGGUUAAUUGAUGGGGUCAGCGCAAGCGAAGCUCUUGAUCGAAGCCCCGGUAAACGGCGGCCGUAACUAUAACGGUCCUAAGGUAGCGAAAUUCCUUGUCGGGUAAGUUCCGACCUGCACGAAUGGCGUAAUGAUGGCCAGGCUGUCUCCACCCGAGACUCAGUGAAAUUGAACUCGCUGUGAAGAUGCAGUGUACCCGCGGCAAGACGGAAAGACCCCGUGAACCUUUACUAUAGCUUGACACUGAACAUUGAGCCUUGAUGUGUAGGAUAGGUGGGAGGCUUUGAAGUGUGGACGCCAGUCUGCAUGGAGCCGACCUUGAAAUACCACCCUUUAAUGUUUGAUGUUCUAACGUUGACCCGUGAUCCGGGUUGCGGACAGUGUCUGGUGGGUAGUUUGACUGGGGCGGUCUCCUCCUAAAGAGUAACGGAGGAGCACGAAGGUUGGCUAAUCCUGGUCGGACAUCAGGAGGUUAGUGCAAUGGCAUAAGCCAGCUUGACUGCGAGCGUGACGGCGCGAGCAGGUGCGAAAGCAGGUCAUAGUGAUCCGGUGGUUCUGAAUGGAAGGGCCAUCGCUCAACGGAUAAAAGGUACUCCGGGGAUAACAGGCUGAUACCGCCCAAGAGUUCAUAUCGACAGCGGUGUUUGGCACCUCGAUGUCGGCUCAUCACAUCCUGGGGCUGAAGUAGGUCCCAAGGGUAUGGCUGUUCGCCAUUUAAAGUGGUACGCGAGCUGGGUUUAGAACGUCGUGAGACAGUUCGGUCCCUAUCUGCCGUGGGCGCUGGAGAACUGAGGGGGGCUGCUCCUAGUACGAGAAGGACCGGAGUGGACGCAUCACUGGUGUUCGGGUUGUCAUGCCAAUGGCACUGCCCGGUAGCUAAAUGCGGAAGAGAUAAGUGCUGAAAGCAUCUAAGCACGAAACUUGCCCCGAGAUGAGUUCUCCCUGACUCCUUGAGAGUCCUGAAGGAACGUUGAAGACGACGACGUUGAUAGGCCGGGUGUGUAAGCGCAGCGAUGCGUUGAGCUAACCGGUACUAAUGAACCGUGAGGCUUAACCUU